rnacentral:rRNA from 1 species
GACGAACGCUGGCGGCGUGCUUAACACAUGCAAGUCGAACGGAAAGGCCCUGCUUUCAUGGUCCUCUAGUGGCGAACGGGUGAGUAACACGUGGGUGAUCUGCCCUGCACUUCGUGAUAAUCCUUGGAAACUGUGUCUCAUACCGCAUAGGAGCCCUUUUGGUGUGUUGUUUGGGCUGUUUUUUUGGGGUGGGUUGAGCUCGCGGCCUAUCAGCUUUCUGGUGGGGUCAUGGCCUAACAAGGCGGCGAAGGGUAGCCGGGCUGAGAGGGUGGACGGGCACAAUGGGGCUGAGAGAAGGGCCAGACUCCCAAGGGAGGGAGGAGGUGGGAAGAAUGCAAAAAGGGGGGAAGGCUGGUGCAAGGAAGGCGGGGGGGGGAAGAAGGCCCUUGGGUUGGAAAAUCCUUUCGCUAGGGAAGAAGCUUUGUGUGACGGUACCGAGAUAAGAAGCACCGGCUAACUACGUG